rnacentral:rRNA from 1 species
AGCGAACGCUGGCGGCAGGCUUAACACAUGCAAGUCGAACGGGCACUUCGGUGCUAGUGGCAGACGGGUGAGUAACACGUGGGAACGUACCUUUCGGUUCGGAAUAAUUCAGGGAAACUUGGACUAAUACCGGAUAAGCCCUUCGGGGGAAAGAUUUAUCGCCGAUAGAUCGGCCCGCGUCUGAUUAGCUAGUUGGUGAGGUAAUGGCUCACCAAGGCGACGAUCAGUAGCUGGUCUGAGAGGAUGAUCAGCCACAUUGGGACUGAGACACGGCCCAAACUCCUACGGGAGGCAGCAGUGGGGAAUAUUGGACAAUGGGCGAAAGCCUGAUCCAGCCAUGCCGCGUGAGUGAUGAAGGCCUUAGGGUUGUAAAGCUCUUUUGUCCGGGAAGAUAAUGACUGUACCGGAAGAAUAAGCCCCGGCUAACUUCGUGCCAGCAGCCGCCGUAA